CGGACCGGCGCACGGGUGCGUAACGCGUAUGCAACCUACCUUUAACAGGGGAUAACACUGAGAAAUUGGUACUAAUACCCCAUAAUAUCAUAGAAGGCAUCUUUUAUGGUUGAAAAUUCCGAUGGUUAGAGAUGGGCAUGCGCUGUAUUAGCUAGUUGGUGGGGUAACGGCUCACCAAGGCGACGAUACAUAGGGGGACUGAGAGGUUAACCCCCCACACUGGUACUGAGACACGGACCAG
rnacentral:rRNA from 1 species